GUACUACUCCCUUCGUUCCGAAUUACUUAUCUUGGAUUUGUCUAGAUACGACUCAUUUUAGUGCUAGAUACCUCUGUAUCUAGAUAAAUUUAAGACAAGUAAUUCGGAACGGAGGAAGUACUUG
rnacentral:pre_miRNA from 1 species